UACGAAGGGGGCUAGCGUUGCUCGGAAUCACUGGGCGUAAAGGGUGCGUAGGCGGGGCUUUAAGUCAGGGGUGAAAUCCUGGAGCUCAACUCCAGAACUGCCUUUGAUACUGAAGAUCUUGAGUUCGGGAGAGGUGAGUGGAACUGCGAGUGUAGAGGUGAAAUUCGUAGAUAUUCGGAAGAACACCAGUGGCGAAGGCGACUUACUGGACACAUAUUGACGCUGAGGUGCGAAAGCGUGGGGAGCAAACAGG
rnacentral:rRNA from 1 species